rnacentral:rRNA from 1 species
UACGGAGGGUGCAAGCGUUAUCCGGAUUCACUGGGUUUAAAGGGUGCGUAGGUGGGUCUGUAAGUCAGUGGUGAAAUCUCCAAGCUUAACCUGGAAACUGCCGUUGAUACUAUAGAUCUUGAAUGCUGUGGAGGUGAGCGGAAUAUGUCAUGUAGCGGUGAAAUGCUUAGAUAUGACAUAGAACACCAAUUGCGAAGGCAGCUCACUACCCAGAUAUUGACACUGAGGCACGAAAGCGUGGGGAUCAAACAGG